GUUGUGACUCAGUAUUCUUGGCUGUAUCAGGAGUCUUAGGAACUGCAGCUUGCAAGGACCAAUCCCCGACAUGAGCAGGAUGCUGAACCUUUCUUAUAUUGACCUCAGUUCAAACCAGCUUAGUGGAUCCAUACCACAAGUUAAGCUUUCCGAAAAUAUCACAACUAUUGAUUUAUCAAACAACAAUCUUAAUGGAACCUUCCCUGGCAUCUUUUCAGGCCUGCCUCAACUUCAGAGAUUGUGAGCAUUCUUCAACUUUUUCCCCCUUUUCCAUAUAAAUUGCAUGGUUUCAUAAACAGUAAUGUUUGAA